ACAUCCAGAGAAUUUAGCAGAGAUGCUUUUAGUGCCUUCGGGAACUCUGAGACAGGUGCUGCAUGGCUGUCGUCAGCUCGUGUUGUGAAAUGUUGGGUUAAGUCCCGNAACGAGCGCAACCCUUAUCCUUUGUUGCCAGCACGUAAUGGUGGGAACUCAAAGGAGACUGCCGGUGAUAAACCGGAGGAAGGUGGGGAUGACGUCGAGUCAUCAUGGCCCUUACGAGUAGGGCUACACACGUGCUACAAUGGCGCAUACAAAGAGAAGCGACCUCGCGAGAGCAAGCGGACCUCAUAAAGUGCGUCGUAGUCCGGAUUGGAGUCUGCAACUCGACUCCAUGAAGUCGGAAUCGCUAGUAAUCGUAAAUCAGAAUGUUACGGUGAAUACGUUCCCGGGCCUUGUACACACCGCCCGUCACACCAUGGGAGUGGGUUGCAAAAGAAGUAGAUAGCUUAACCUUCGGGAGGGUCGUUUACCACUUUGUGAUUCAUGACUGGGGUGAAGUCGUAACAAGGUAGGCGUAGUGCU
rnacentral:rRNA from 1 species